rnacentral:rRNA from 1 species
UACGUAGGGGGCAAGCGUUGUCCGGAUUUAUUGGGCGUAAAGAGCGUGUAGGCGGCUUUACAGGUCCGUUGUGAAAACUGGAGGCUCAACCUCGAGACGCCGGUGGAAACCGUAAAGCUAGAGUCCGGAAGAGGAGAGUGGAAUUCCUGGUGUAGCGGUGAAAUGCGCAGAUAUCAGGAGGAACACCCGUGGCGAAAGCGGCUCUCUGGGACGGUACUGACGCUGAGACGCGAAAGCGUGGGGAGCAAACAGG